GACGAACGCUGGUGGCGUGCUUAACACAUGCAAGUCGAACGGAAAGGCCCUGCUUUUGUGGGGUGCUCGAGUGGCGAACGGGUGAGUAACACGUGAGUAACCUGCCCUUGACUUUGGGAUAACUUCAGGAAACUGGGGCUAAUACCGGAUAGGAGCUCCUGCUGCAUGGUGGGGGUUGGAAAGUUUCGGCGGUUGGGGAUGGACUCGCGGCUUAUCAGCUUGUUGGUGGGGUAGUGGCUUACCAAGGCUUUGACGGGUAGCCGGCCUGAGAGGGUGACCGGCCACAUUGGGACUGAGAUACGGCCCAGACUCCUACGGGAGGCAGCAGUGGGGAAUAUUGCACAAUGGGCGGAAGCCUGAUGCAGCAACGCCGCGUGCGGGAUGACGGCCUUCGGGUUGUAAACCGCUUUCGCCUGUGACGAAGCGUGAGUGACGGUAAUGGGUAAAGAAGCGCCGGCUAACUACGUGCCAGCAGCCGCGGUGAUACGUAGGGUGCGAGCGUUGUCCGGAUUUAUUGGGCGUAAAGGGCUCGUAGGUGGUUGAUCGCGUCGGAAGUGUAAUCUUGGGGCUUAACCCUGAGCGUGCUUUCGAUACGGGUUGACUUGAGGAAGGUAGGGGAGAAUGGAAUUCCUGGUGGAGCGGUGGAAUGCGCAGAUAUCAGGAGGAACACCAGUGGCGAAGGCGGUUCUCUGGGCCUUUCCUGACGCUGAGGAGCGAAAGCGUGGGGAGCGAACAGGCUUAGAUACCCUGGUAGUCCACGCUGUAAACGGUGGGUACUAGGUGUGGGGUCCAUUCCACGGGUUCCGUGCCGUAGCUAACGCUUUAAGUACCCCGCCUGGGGAGUACGGCCGCAAGGCUAAAACUCAAAGGAAUUGACGGGGCCCCGCACAAGCGGCGGAGCAUGCGGAUUAAUUCGAUGCAACGCGUAGAACCUUACCUGGGUUUGACAUGGAUCGGGAGUGCUCAGAGAUGGGUGUGCCUCUUUUGGGGUCGGUUCACAGGUGGUGCAUGCCUGCCGUCAGCUCGUGUCGUGAGAUGUUGGGUUAAGUCCCGCAACGAGCGCAACCCUUGUUCACUGUUGCCAGCACGUUAUGGUGGGGACUCAGUGGAGACCGCCGGGGUCAACUCGGAGGAAGGUGGGGAUGACGUCAAGUCAUCAUGCCCCUUAUGUCCAGGGCUUCACGCAUGCUACAAUGGCUGGUACAGAGAGUGGCGAGCCUGUGAGGGUGAGCGAAUCUCGGAAAGCCGGUCUCAGUUCGGAUUGGGGUCUGCAACUCGACCUCAUGAAGUCGGAGUCGCUAGUAAUCGCAGAUCAGCAACGCUGUGGUGAAUACGUUCCCGAGGCU
rnacentral:rRNA from 1 species